UUGCUUAUUGUUGAAAUUAUUUAUGCAAUUACGUUUAUUAUUUUUUCAGCUUGUUCCGUUGGUAAAUAUGGCAGCCAGUGUAGUGAAAGUUGCGGACACUGUUCAAAUAACUCCACGUGUUAUCAUGUUGAUGGAUCGUGUAAGGCCGGAUGCGAAGCUGGUUAUAAAGCAUCUGCUUGUAAAACGCCCUGUGACGACGGAGAAUAUGGACAAAAUUGUCAGUAUAUGUGUACCGGGAACUGCAUUAACGGGGAAGCGUGUGAUAAAGCUAGCGGACACUGUCGAUCCUGUGUAGAAGGGUAUCAAGGUUUUAAGUGUGACAGAGAUAUCAGGCAAUCUCCAACAAGUUCGGAUACAAAGAAAAACGACGUUGAUGAUUUGAAGAUGAAUAAAAUGAUCCUGGAAAAUGAGAAGACACAGAAAGAGAUUCAGAAGUUGGAAGAAGAGAUAGAGGUUCUACGUGUUAGAAAGAACGUUUUACUAAGACUGCAAGGAAUACUAAGCGAACUCUCUCAAGUUGCAACUAAACUGCUGAAAGACAAUUAAUUCUAACGAAUGUGCUUCCGAACGAUAAACGAUUGCUUGGUUUUAUCGUAUAAGUUUACUUCCUAAAUACUGAUUUUUUCUUGAUUUAUUAAGUAAAUGUGUGAACCUUGAC